rnacentral:rRNA from 1 species
UGUGACGUUACCAAACUGUUGCCUCGGCGGGGUCACGCCCCGGGUGCGUCGCAGCCCCGGAACCAGGCGCCCGCCGGAGGAACCAACCAAACUCUUUCUGUAGUCCCCUCGCGGACGUAUUUCUUACAGCUCUGAGCAAAAAUUCAAAAUGAAUCAAAACUUUCAACAACGGAUCUCUUGGUUCUGGCAUCGAUGAAGAACGCAGCGAAAUGCGAUAAGUAAUGUGAAUUGCAGAAUUCAGUGAAUCAUCGAAUCUUUGAACGCACAUUGCGCCCGCCAGUAUUCUGGCGGGCAUGCCUGUCCGAGCGUCAUUUCAACCCUCGAACCCCUCCGGGGGAUCGGCGUUGGGGAUCGGGACCCCUCACACGGGUGCCGGCCCCGAAAUACAGUGGCGGUCUCGCCGCAGCCUCUCCUGCGCAGUAUUUUGCACAACUCGCACCGGGAGCGCGGCGCGUCCACGUCCGUAAAACACCCAACUUUCUGAAAUGUUGACCUCGGAUCAGGUAAGAAUACCCGCUGAACUUAAGCAUAUCAAUAAGCGGAGGA